rnacentral:misc_RNA from 1 species
AUCUAUGACUACGAAAACGUAAUACCCGUUCGAGAAACGGAGAGGAAAAAAAAUAAAAUUAAAAAGUAAAAAUAAAUAUCUCUCUCUCCAUUGCCUUUCUCAGCUUCUUCUUCAUGCUCCCUUCUCUUCUACGGGGAAUUUGAUGUUUUGACUCUGUCUACAAGGUAGAUCUGGAGAAGGGCACAGUAUUUGAUUGAUUUGUUUUUGGUUGGGAAUCUUGAAGUGAAGUAAAGCUGGCGGCUACACUGGCUUGGAGGUUUGCUGCCACCAAUGGCAGCAGCCUUGGUGCUAACGACAUGGAAAAAAAUGUUGAUGGAAAACCUCAAGAUUCUGAGCCCCCAACUCCAUAUUCAACUACGAAGAUGGGUUUGAGAGACCGUAGUAGUAGUAGCAUGGAGGAUCCAGAUGGGACAUUAGCAAGUGUUGCACAAUGCAUUGAACAGUUGCGGCAGAGUUCCUCAUCUGGACAAGAGAAAGAGUAUUCCUUGAGGCAGUUGCUAGAACUUAUUGAAACACGGGAAAAUGCUUUCAGUGCUGUUGGAUCUCACUCUCAAGCAGUUCCAGUGCUUGUUUCUCUUCUCCGAUCAGGAUCACUUGGAGUGAAGAUACAGGCUGCUACUGUUUUAGGAUCUCUAUGCAAGGAGAAUGAGCUAAGGGUAAAAGUCUUGCUUGGAGGAUGCAUUCCACCAUUACUUGGUCUCCUCAAGUCAAGCUCUGCAGAAGGUCAAAUUGCAGCGGCAAAGACGAUAUAUGCUGUUUCUCAGGGUGGUGCUAGAGAUCAUGUUGGAUCAAAAAUUUUUUCAACUGAAGGAGUUGUGCCAGUGCUCUGGGAGCUGCUUCAGAAAGGGCUCAAGACUGGCAACUUGGUUGAUAACUUGUUGACUGGAGCACUAAAAAACCUCUCUAGCAGCACUGAGGGAUUUUGGUCUGCAACAAUACAGGCUGGCGGAGUAGAUAUACUUGUGAAGUUGCUCACAACUGGACAGUCAGGAACUCAAGCCAAUGUCUGCUUUCUUCUUGCUUGUAUGAUGAUGGAGGAUGAAACUAUUUGUUCUAAGGUAUUGGCAGCAGAGGCCACUAAACAACUGCUUAUGCUAUUAGGACCUGGAAAUGAAGCUCCUGUUAGAGCAGAAGCUGCAGGUGCUCUUAAGUCUCUUUCUGCUCAAUGUAAAGAAGCAAGACGAGAGAUAGCUAAUUCUAAUGGUAUUCCUGCCUUGAUAAAUGCCACAAUAGCUCCCUCAAAAGAAUUCAUGCAGGGUGAGUAUGCCCAAGCCUUACAGGAGAAUGCCAUGUGUGCUCUUGCAAACAUUUCAGGCGGUUUAUCAUAUGUAAUCUCAAGCCUUGGUCAAAGCCUUGAAUCAUGUUCUUCACCUGCCCAGACUGCUGACACCUUGGGGGCUUUAGCUUCAGCGCUGAUGAUAUAUGAUAGCAAAGCCGAAUCUACAAGAGCAUCAGAUCCUGUGGCUGUUGAGCAGACUUUGGUUAAACAGUUCAAGCCUCGCUUACCAUUUCUUGUGCAGGAACGAACUAUUGAAGCUUUAGCCAGUUUGUAUGGAAAUUCCAUACUUUCCAUUAAACUUGUAAAUUCUGAAGCAAAACGAUUGCUUGUUGGUUUGAUCACAAUGGCGACCAAUGAAGUUCAGGAUGAGCUUAUAAGAGCUCUUCUCACACUAUGCAACAAUAAGGGCAGCCUGUGGCGUGCACUCCAAGGCCGUGAAGGGGUUCAACUUUUGAUAUCUCUUCUUGGGCUUUCAUCAGAACAACAACAAGAAUGUGCAGUUGCAUUGCUUUGUCUUCUAUCUAAUGAAAAUGAUGAAAGUAAAUGGGCCAUCACUGCUGCUGGUGGUAUUCCUCCGCUUGUUCAAAUUCUUGAGACAGGGUCAGCUAAAGCCAAGGAAGAUUCUGCAGCAAUCCUUAGGAAUCUAUGCAAUCACAGUGAAGACAUACGUGCAUGCGUUGAAAGUGCUGAUGCUGUUCCUGCAUUAUUGUGGCUACUCAAGAAUGGGAGCCCCAAUGGGAAGGAAAUAGCAGCAAAGACUUUAAAUCAUUUAAUCCGUAAAUCUGACAUGGCAACUAUCAGCCAGCUCACUGCAUUGUUAACCAGUGAUCUACCUGAAUCAAAAGUGUAUGUUCUGGAUGCUCUAAGAAGUAUGCUGUCUGUGGUUUCCUUGAGUGAUAUAUUACGGGAAGGUAGUGCUGCAAAUGAUGCAAUAGAGACAAUGAUUAAGUUAUUGAGCUCUACUAAAGAAGAGACUCAGGCAAAGUCUGCCUCGGCUUUGGCUGGAAUUUUCGAAGUCAGAAAGGACUUGCGUGAGAGUGGUAUUGCAGUUAAAACUCUUUGGUCGGUGAUGAAAUUGCUAAACGUUGAAUCUGAGAACAUCUUAGUAGAGUCAUCUCAUUGCCUUGCCGCCAUUUUUCUGUCAAUUAAAGAGAACCGAGAUGUGGCUGCUGUUGCUCGAGAUGCAUUGUCUUCCUUAGUCAUGCUUGCUAACUCCUCAGCUUUGGAAGUUGCAGAGCAGGCAACAUGUGCUCUGGCGAAUCUUAUUUUGGAUGGUGAAGCUUCAGAGAAAGCCAUUCCUGAAGAAAUUAUUCUGCCUGCAACUAGAGUUUUGCAUGAGGGCACAGAGUCUGGAAAGACUCAUGCAGCGGCAGCAAUUGCUCGUCUGCUCCAUUCUCGCAGAAUUGAUUAUGCCAUAACUGAUUGUGUUAAUCGUGCUGGAACGGUUCUUGCAUUAGUUUCAUUUUUAGAAUCCGCUAAUGGCGGACCUGUUGCCACAUCAGAGGCACUAGAUGCACUAGCUAUUCUGUCAAGGUCAGAAGGGGCCAGUGGGCACAUUAAACCAGCAUGGACAGUUUUAGCUGAAUGCCCAAGAAGUAUAACCCCAAUAGUUUCAUCCAUUGCAGAUGCAAAACCUUUGUUGCAGGAUAAAGCUAUUGAAAUAUUGUCACGACUAUGUCGAGAUCAGCCUGUUGUUUUAGGAGACACUGUUGUUACUGCCUCCGGAUGUAUAGCAUUAGUUGCUAGAAGGGUGAUCAAUUCCACAAAUCCAAAGGUCAAAAUUGGAGGAGCUGCACUUCUUAUUUGUGCUGCGAAAGUUAGUCAUCAGAGAGUGGUGGAGGAUCUUAGUCUAUCAAAUUCAUGUACCCAUCUUAUUCAAUCACUUGUUGUAAUGCUUAAUUCUGCAGAGGCUUUUCCUUCGGGAACUCAAGGUGAUGAUGACAAGGAGGUCAUUAGUAUCUGCAGGCAUACUAAAGAAGAAGCUGGGAAUGAUGACUCCAACACUGGAACAGCACUAAUUUAUAGUUAUAACUUAGCUAUUUGGCUACUCUCUGUACUUGCUUGUCACGAUGAGAAAAGUAAAACUGUGAUAAUGGAGGCUGGAGCAGUUGAAGUCCUCACAGACAGAAUUUCACAUUGUUUUUUGCAAUAUAGUCAGGGUGAUUUCAGUGAAGAUGGCAGCAUAUGGAUUUGUGCUUUAUUGCUUGCAAUUCUGUUUCAAGAUAGAGAUAUCAUACGAGCGCAUGCAACAAUGAAAUCUAUACCAGUACUUGCAAAUUUGUUGAAGUCAGAGGAGGCUGCAAACAGAUAUUUUGCUGCUCAAGCAAUUGCAAGUCUAGUCUGUAAUGGUAGUAGGGGAACUCUUCUGUCUGUUGCCAAUUCAGGGGCAGCAGGUGGCCUUAUCUCUUUACUUGGCUGUGCUGAUGUUGAUAUAUCUGAUCUUCUGGAAUUAUCAGAGGAGUUUGCUUUGGUGCGUUAUCCAGACCAAGUUGCUCUUGAGAGGUUGUUCAGGGUUGAAGACAUAAGGGUUGGAGCUACUUCUCGAAAAGCCAUACCUGCCCUUGUCGAUCUACUCAAACCAAUUCCAGACCGCCCAGGGGCACCUUUUCUAGCACUAGGGCUUCUGACCCAGCUUGCAAAGGACUGUCCACCAAAUAAGAUUGUAAUGGUAGAAUCAGGGGCUUUGGAAGCCUUGACAAAGUAUCUUUCACUUGGUCCCCAAGAUGCAACUGAAGAAGCUGCAACUGAUCUGUUAGGGAUCCUAUUUAGCAGUGCUGAAAUUCGGAGACAUGAAUCUGCAUUUGGUGCUGUUAGCCAACUUGUGGCAGUCUUACGCUUGGGUGGAAGAGGUGCUAGGUAUAGUGCUGCUAAAGCGUUGGAAAGCCUGUUUUCUGCUGAUCAUAUCAGGAAUGCAGAAAGUGCCCGACAAGCUGUCCAGCCCUUGGUGGAGAUCCUUAAUACUGGGAUGGAGAAAGAACAACAUGCUGCUAUUGCUGCAUUGGUUAGGUUAUUGAGUGAAAACCCAUCACGAGCGCUUGCAGUUGCAGAUGUUGAGAUGAAUGCAGUUGAUGUACUUUGCAGGAUCCUCUGCUCAAAUUGUUCAAUGGAGCUCAAAGGGGAUGCUGCAGAGUUAUGUGGUGUUCUUUUUGGAAAUACACGAAUCAGGUCCACGAUGGCUGCAGCACGCUGUGUUGAGCCUCUAGUUUCUCUCCUUGUUACUGAGUUUAGUUCUGCACAGCAUUCAGUUGUCCGUGCACUGGACAAACUUGUUGAUGAUGAGCAACUAGCAGAACUAGUUGCUGCACAUGGUGCAGUUAUUCCUCUUGUUGGCCUACUCUAUGGUAGGAAUUACAUGCUUCAUGAGGCUAUUUCCAGAGCAUUAGUGAAGUUAGGGAAAGACAGGCCUGCUUGUAAAAUGGAAAUGGUAAAAGCUGGAGUAAUUGAAAGCACACUUGAUAUUCUCCAUGAAGCACCAGAUUUUCUCUGUGCUUCAUUUGCAGAAUUGCUUAGAAUAUUGACCAAUAAUGCUGCCAUUGCUAAGGGACCAUCUGCAGCAAAGGUGGUUGAGCCUCUUUUCCUGCUGCUAACAAGACCAGAAUUUGGGCCUGAGGGACAACAUAGUGCAUUACAGGUUCUAGUGAACAUUCUGGAGCGUCCACAAUGUCGUGCUGACUACAACCUCACCUCUCACCAAGCUAUUGAACCACUUAUUCCCUUGCUUGAUUCUCCAACUCCAGCAGUUCAACAGUUGGCAGCUGAGCUUCUAUCACAUCUACUCCUGGAAGAACAUCUUCAGAAGGAUCCAUUGACACAGCAAGUAAUUGGUCCCCUCAUACGAGUUCUUGGUUCUGGCAUACACAUCUUGCAGCAGAGAGCUGUCAAGGCUCUUGUUAGCAUUGCACUCACAUGGCCAAAUGAAAUUGCGAAAGAAGGAGGUGUGAAGGAGCUAUCCAAAGUGAUAUUGCAAGCUGACCCUUCUCUUCCUCAUGCCUUGUGGGAAUCUGCUGCUUCUGUAUUAGCUAGCAUUCUGCAAUUUAGUUCUGAAUUUUAUUUGGAAGUGCCUGUUGCUGUGUUGGUAAGGUUGCUUCGAUCUGGAUCAGAAAGUACAGUAAUUGGUGCACUAAAUGCCCUUUUGGUGUUAGAAAGUGAUGACGGAACUAGUGCCGAAGCAAUGGCUGAAAGUGGUGCCAUAGAAGCUCUUUUGGAACUUCUUAGAGGUCAUCAGUCUGAGGAAACAGCUGCAAGGCUUCUGGAAGUAUUACUCAACAAUGUGAAAAUCAGAGAAUCAAAAGCUACUAAAUCUGCAAUCUUGCCCUUGUCCCAGUACCUCUUGGAUCCCCAAACUCAAGCCCAGCAGGCAAGGCUACUGGCAACUUUGGCACUUGGGGAUCUAUUCCAAAAUGAGGGCUUGGCUCGAAGUACUGAUGCAGUUUCAGCCUGCCGUGCUCUAGUCAAUGUCCUUGAAGAGCAGCCUACAGAAGAAAUGAAAGUUGUGGCUAUAUGUGCUUUGCAGAACCUUGUUAUGUACAGCCGGUCUAACAAAAGAGCAGUUGCAGAAGCUGGUGGUGUUCAGGUUGUAUUGGAUUUGAUUGGUUCGAGUGAUCCAGAUACAUCUGUCCAGGCUGCGAUGUUUGUUAAACUUCUCUUCUCCAAUCACACCAUUCAGGAGUAUGCUUCCAGUGAAACAGUUAGAGCUAUAACUGCUGCUAUUGAGAAAGAUUUAUGGGCCACUGGAGUUGUGAAUGAGGAGUAUCUAAAAGCUCUAAAUUCUCUCUUCAGCAACUUCCCACGUCUGAGGGCAACUGAACCUGCAACACUCAGUAUACUUCAUUUGGUUACAUCCCUUAAGACAGGUUCAGAAGCAACUCAAGAAGCUGCCUUGGAUUCACUUUUUCUUCUCAGGCAAGCUUGGUCAGCAUGCCCAGCUGAAGUUUCAAGAGCUCAAUCCCUGGCUGCUGCAGAUGCUAUCCCCUUGUUGCAAUACUUGAUUCAGUCUGGCCCACCCCGAUUUCAGGAGAAAGCUGAAUUCCUGCUGCAGUGUUUGCCUGGUACAUUGUUAGUUAUCAUCAAGCGCGGAAACAACAUGAAGCAGUCAGUGGGAAACCCAAGUGUAUAUUGCAAACUAACACUCGGCCAUACUCCGCCAAGACAAACAAAGAUUGUAUCAACUGGCCCAAAUCCGGAGUGGGAUGAGAGUUUUUUGUGGUCCUUUGAGAGUCCUCCAAAAGGCCAGAAGCUUCAUAUUUCAUGCAAAAAUAAGAGCAAAAUGGGGAAGAGUUCUUUUGGAAAAGUAACGAUCCAGAUUGAUCGGGUUGUAAUGCUAGGAGCAGUUGCUGGAGAGUAUACUCUGUUGCCUGAAAGCAAAAGUGGGCCCUCAAGGAAUUUGGAAAUAGAGUUCCAGUGGUCUAACAAAUCCACUAAUAAUGAUGCAACCACAAAUUGAAUUUUUAGGGAGGAAAUAUUUUCCCAGUAUAGUUAUUAUUAUUAUUUUAAAAAAAUCUUCCCUUCCAAAUUGAGUUAUUUCUCAUUUCAGUGUAAAUAGUUUGCAAAGGAUUUUGAUUUUUGUAGGUGCUUGCCAUUGAGUCAUAAAAGAAAUUGUAAUUUGUUCAAUGUAUUCUUUUGUAAGUUGAUGUUAUUAUAAUCUCUGGAACCAUAUGGACUGAGUUAAAUUCUUCUUUGUUGUUUUUGUACCAAAAAUGUGUGCUUGUCAAUCUG